GGGUAUGGCUCAGCAGUAGAGUGCAUGCUUAGCAUGCACAAGGUCCUGGGUUCAAUCCCCAGUGCCUCCA
rnacentral:tRNA from 1 species